AUUGAACGCUGGCGGCAUGCUUUACACAUGCAAGUCGAACGGCAGCACGGGCUUCGGCCUGGUGGCGAGUGGCGAACGGGUGAGUAAUAUAUCGGAACGUACCCAGAAGUGGGGGAUAACGUAGCGAAAGUUACGCUAAUACCGCAUACGAUCUAUGGAUGAAAGCAGGGGACCGCAAGGCCUUGUGCUCCUGGAGCGGCCGAUAUCUGAUUAGCUAGUUGGUGAGGUAAAAGCUCACCAAGGCGACGAUCAGUAGCUGGUCUGAGAGGACGACCAGCCACACUGGAACUGAGACACGGUCCAGACUCCCACGGGAGGCAGCAGUGGGGAAUUUUGGACAAUGGGCGCAAGCCUGAUCCAGCAAUGCCGCGUGAGUGAAGAAGGCCUUCGGGUUGUAAAGCUCUUUUGUCAGGGAAGAAACGGUAGAGGCUAAUAUCCUUUGCUAAUGACGGUACCUGAAGAAUAAGCACCGGCUAACUACGUG
rnacentral:rRNA from 1 species